rnacentral:tRNA from 1 species
GCGGGAUUAGUUAAACGGCCUAACAUUACCUUCCCAAGGUAAGGAAAGGGGUUCGACUCCCCUAUCCCGCU